rnacentral:rRNA from 1 species
UUACCGAGCGAGAAUUCUCUGAAUUCAACCUCCCACCCGUGUUUAUUGUACCUUGUUGCUUCGGCGGGCCCGCCUCACGGCCGCCGGGGGGCAUCUGCCCCCGGGCCCGCGCCCGCCGAAGACACCUUGAACUCUGUAUGAAAAUUGCAGUCUGAGUCUAAAUAUAAAUUAUUUAAAACUUUCAACAACGGAUCUCUUGGUUCCGGCAUCGAUGAAGAACGCAGCGAAAUGCGAUACGUAAUGUGAAUUGCAGAAUUCAGUGAAUCAUCGAGUCUUUGAACGCACAUUGCGCCCCCUGGUAUUCCGGGGGGCAUGCCUGUCCGAGCGUCAUUGCUGCCCUCAAGCCCGGUUGUGUGUUGGGUCUCGUCCCCCUUCCCGGGGGGACGGGCCCGAAAGGCAGCGGCGGCACCGCGUCCGGUCCUCGAGCGUAUGGGGCUUUGUCACCCGCUCUGUAGGCCCGGCCGGCGCUUGCCGAUCAACCAAAACUUUUUUCCAGGUUGACCUCGGAUCAGGUAGGGAUACCCGCUGAACUUAAGCAUAUCAAUAAGCGGAGGAAAAGAAACCAACAGGGAUUGCCCCAGUAACGGCGAGUGAAGCGGCAAGAGCUCAAAUUUGAAAGCUGGCUCCUUCGGGGUCCGCAUUGUAAUUUGCAGAGGAUGCUUC